GUUUCGUAAUAUCGAUAUUUUAUGAUGAUUGGAUUUUAUUUUUAUCCGAUUGUGAUUUAGUUCAAAUACAAAUAUCAAGGAAAAUCUGGAAUAUAUGUGGAAAAUCAGAAUCACAUUCAACAGCAUAUUUCAAGAUGUUAAGAUUGGUGCUGCUCAUAUCUGUCACAGUGACAGCAACAUACUCGUCGGAUCCUGAUCAACAGAUGCAUCCAGGAUACUCGGUGCAUCCUGGAUUUUCGGCGCAUCCUGGAUUUUCGAUUCAUCCUGGAUUCAUAACACAUCCUGGAUUUUCUGCACAUCCAGGGUUCUCGUCGCAUCCUGGAUACUCGGUUCACUCUGGAAACAGGGUUCAAUCUGGAGACCAUGCUCACCCUGAUUACACGAAUUAUCAUAGAUCCUCCCUAAAAUGAAAGCAUUAUGAAUACUAGGUAUAUACUGUCAACGCCUGGUCCGUAUGUGAAAAUUGUAAAUUGAGAAUAAUAUUUGGGUAACUAGUAAUUAUACAUUCUCAGUGUU